rnacentral:snoRNA from 1 species
GUUGCUGUGAUGAUUCCAAGCACUUGAAAUGUGUAGAAGGGCAGUGGACAAGUACCUGAGUACUUGCCGUGAGCUUUCUUCAAAUAACGACUUCUCCUUCCACUGAGCUUC